rnacentral:rRNA from 1 species
AUUGAACGCUGGCGGCGUGCCUAACACAUGCAAGUCGAGCGGUAACAGGUAGGUAGCAAUACAUGCUGACGAGCGGCGGACGGGUGAGUAACGCUUGGGAAUCUGCCUGUUAGUGGGGGACAACCCGGGGGAAACUCGGGCUAAUACCGCAUACGCACUACGGUGGAAAGCCGGGGACCGCAAGGCCUGGCGCUAACAGAUGAGCCCAAGUCGGAUUAGCUAGUUGGUAGGGUAACGGCCUACCAAGGCGACGAUCCGUAACUGGUCUGGGAGGACGACCAGUCACACCGGAACUGAGACACGGUCCGGACUCCUACGGGAGGCAGCAGUGGGGAAUAUUGGACAAUGGGCGAAAGCCUGAUCCAGCGACGCCGCGUGGGUGAAGAAGGCCUGCGGGUUGUAAAGCCCUUUC